AGAGUGAGGAGAAGGGCGCCGCGCUCAUGCGGAACCGUGACCUGCAGCUGGAGAUUGACCAGCUCAAGCACAGCCUCAUGAAGGCCGAGGACGACUGCAAGGUGGAGCGCAAGCACACGCUGAAGCUCAGGCACGCCAUGGAGCAGCGGCCCAGCCAGGAGCUGCUGUGGGAGCUGCAGCAGGAGAAGGCCCUGCUCCAGGCCCGGGUGCAGGAGCUGGAGGCCUCCGUCCAGGUGGGGCCGUAGGCAGGGCAGGUGCAGCCCAGGCAGGGCAGUGGGGGCCUUCCCAGCCAGGCCAUUGCCUUUUGCCCCCUUCAGGAGGGGAAGCUGGACAGGAGCAGCCCCUACAUCCAGGUACUGGAGGAGGACUGGCGGCAGGCGCUGCGGGACCACCAGGAGCAGGCCAACACCAUCUUCUCCCUGCGCAAGGACCUCCGCCAGGGCGAGGCCCGACGCCUCCGGGUAGGAGGGCAGGCGGGGAGACAUGGCCCCUGGGGUCCAAGCCAGGCUGGACGGGCUGAGCUCCGCCCACUCCGUGCCUGGAAGGUGGGGUGUGGAGACCCCAGUGCAGCGCCUCCACUCACCCACUCCUGGAGGCACAGUGGACGGUGCCCUCUCCUUGCCCGCCUGCCCCCCAUGGCAAAGGCCAACCUCUGGGCUCAUGGUGCCUGAGGCACAGCAGUGUCUGAGGCCUGCCGGAGGGCCCUGUCCUGCCGCGGUCUGGAAGUGCAGGGCUGGUAGGGGCCUGGGGACUCCUAUGGCCUCCCCCGACAUCCCAACUGGCCUGACCACAUGCUUCUGAGCCCCUGCCCGGAGUAUACCCCAAGGGCCAGAAUGGGGGGCCUCAGGCCUGUGGGGGCUGAGCUGCCGCCCCCUGCAGUGCAUGGAGGAGAAGGAGAUGUUCGAGCUGCAGUGCCUGGCACUACGUAAGGACUCCAAGAUGUACAAGGACCGCAUCGAGGCCAUCCUGCUGCAGAUGGAGGAGGUCGCCAUUGAGCGGGACCAGAGCACACAAAUGGAGGGGCUGUGACCAGCCUCCGCGCCCAGCGGCUUGACGUCCUCCGGAGCCUCUGCUUGGAGUUGGGCGGCCGGGCCGAGGGCCCAGGGCAAGCUUGGGGCCCUCACUGAGGGUCGGCCUUGUGCUGUCCCGUCAGGCCAUAGCCACGCGGGAGGAGCUGCACGCACAGCACGCCCGGGGCCUGCAGGAGAAGGACGCGCUGCGCAAGCAGGUGCGGGAGCUGGGCGAGAAGGCGGAUGAGCUGCAGCUGCAGGUGUUCCAGUGUGAGGCGCAGCUACUGGCCGUGGAGGGCAGGCUCAGGCGGCAGCAGCUGGAGACGCUCGUCCUGGUGGGCCUGGGGCCUGCGGCAGGGAGGGGAGCCGGCGCGUGGGAUGCAGGGCCAGGGGAGCACGGAGCCUCAGCCCCGGCCUUCCCGACCCAACCCUUCUCUGUGACGGGCCCCAACCUAACCAAACCCCUCCUGGCAGUGGGGUGAGGGCACACGAGCAGUUCAGGGUCCCAGCAGGAAGUGGGGCUGCAGGGCCGGGGUGGGUCCUGGGCCUGGCCAUCAGGCAGCCUAGCAGGUUGUUCUGGGCAUGGAGGGGGCCUGGUGUGGCUGAGGGCAUGCCCAGGGCUCCCUGGAGGAUCCCGCUCUGUGCCCUGCCCACCCUGUGCCUGGGGAGCCCUCUGCCCUCACAGCCCACCCACCCCAUUUUCUAUGACCACAGAGCUCCGACCUGGAAGAUGGCUCACCCAGGAGGUCCCAGGAGCUCUCACUCCCCCAGGACCUGGAGGACACCCAGCUCUCAGACAAAGGUGAGGUGGGGACAGCAGUACACCCAGAGGCCUCCCAGCUUCCCCAAGUGAGGCCCAUCUUCAGCACAGGCAGCCCGUGCCGCAAUGCCUGUGUCAACCCCCACAACCCCCACUCCACAGACAGGGAAACUGGGGCUGGGGAUAAGUAAAAUGGUCAAGGUCACCUAGAGAACAAACUACAGAGCCCAGCUGGAACCCAGGGCCCCAGCUAGUGGGACAAGUGUCCCCUGGGGUGGAGAGUGUGGGGGUCUGGGCAGCCCCCAUGGGCUGCAGAGGUGAGCAGGCCCACCGUCCUGAGAGUGUGGGGCCCCUCUGGGCAGCCCCCACGGGGUGCAGAGGUGAGCAGGCCCAGUCCUGGCUGCUCCAAGCUUCCUCCUGGACAGAGGGAGGUGGUAACGAGCGAACGACCAGGUGCAUGAAGCUAGAAGAUGGGGCGAGAUGGGGCCCCACGUGGCUUGAGGGAAAGGGCUGAAUGCAGGGGUGGCCAAGGGCCUGCUGUGUCCCGGUGCAGUGGGGGUAAGGCAGUGGCAGGGGCUUCUAGCGGGCAGGGCAGGCCCCCUCUGCCUGUCUGGGGGAAGGACUGGGUGGCUAGCUGGGAGCAGCUCCCGAGUGUCCAGGAGUGGGCAGUGGUGAUGAGGUAGGUGUUUGCACUGAAGGUGCUGUCAGGUAGGGGUUGGGGAGGGCCCAGCAGAGGGGUCCUGGGAGGCUGCACCGGAGUUGGACAAGCUUCCUGAGUACCAGGCCGUGGCCUCCAAGCAGAGGCGGAAGGGGAAGGAGGAGCCGCAGACGGGGAAGUGAAGACCAGCGCCUUUGGCUGCAGCUCAGAACACUUGAACAUGGGGAUGCCAAGCCCCCAUGUAGGCACAGAGGCGAGCAGGACCCAGGAGUCCGGCUCAGGCACUGCCCCCAUCCCCCUGGGUGGCUGUGGCAGGAGCAGGGGCAGGUGUGAAGGUUGGAGGGUGAGCAGGGGAGGGGCUGGCUCUAAGGGGCUGCCAAUGGCCAGGACAGCCCUGGCCUGGCCCUCACCGCAGUGGGGCUGAGACUGGACGUGCGUGGUUUCUGCCCAAGGGUCCUGAUCCCUGGUCUGCCCAGGUCCUGGCGGUUUCUGAGGGGGUCCAGCCGCCUGAAGGUUCUCUCCCAAUUGCUGCAGUACCCCUGCCCCCACUUCAGGAGGACCCAGACAGCCACUGUAGCUGUCCCCAACUCUCUCCCCAGGGCCGCCAUGCCCACAGAUGCUUUGGAGUGAUGGGGGACGGUGCUGCUCAGGCCCAGGGUUUAAGUUCCCCCGAGGUCUGGGAGGCGUUCCUCCCUGGCAGGCAGCCAGCUCGGGGGAGGGAUGGUCACUGGCGGGAGCGUUGGGCCUGGGCUGGCAUCUGGCGGCCUCCUGGAGCAAUGAACAGGCAAGCGAGGCCAUAAGGCCUCAGUCUCAUCUACAGAAAGCAGAGUCUACACUGGACCCAUGUGGGGAUCCCACCAGGCCUUGGAAGACAGCCCCACUGCAAUGCCGGGGAGGGGUGGGGCAGCCGUGCUAUACGUGGCCCAGCAGAUGGGCAGGUCCCACAGGCACGACUCUCCUUUCCAGGCUGCCUUGCCGGCGGGGGGAGCCCGAAACAGCCCUUUGCAGCUCUGCACCAGGAGCAGGUUUUGCGGAACCCCCAUGUAAGGCUUCCCCGGGGUGGGGUCCUCCCAGCCGUGGGCCUCAGGGUGACCGAUCACAGGGAGAGUGGCUCCCUGCCCUGGGCACCCCCUGCGGUGGCCCCGACGACAGCUGAGGAGUGACCACAAGGUCUCUGCCCACAGUGCUCGGGGUGCGGUGUCUGGGCUGCGAAGUGGAUCCCCCUUUCUUGGGCACUGCAGCAGCUUGGGGGGCUUUUUGGACGUGGAUGUGCCUGGUCCUGGUUUUCCGAGGGCCUUUACAGUGGAUGAGGAGGUGAACACAGGAGUCCUGAGAGCAAGCACCACCUCGGGCUUUGUUGUAGAAACAAUGGCCCGGACCCCAGGCUGGAGCCGUGGCUUGGCCUCCUGGGUGUGUCUUGGCAUCUGAAAUGCAGGCUACCCACACCGGCUCACCUCCAGGGGUACAGGCAGGUCCCACAGGGAGAGCUUGGCGCUGAGCUGAGGCUGUCUGGGCUCCUCGCCUCCCAACCAGUCUGCAGUUACAGGGGCCAGUGGGGGGCGGGUGAGAAGGACGGGUUCCCUCAGGGGAGCCGGCCGGAGCCCGAGCCUUCCCCCUUCUCCAGGACGCAGGCCUGAGCAGCGGGGAGCCGCCCGAGAAGGAGCGGCGGCGCCUCAAAGAGAGUUUUGAGAACUACCGCAGGAAGCGCGCCCUCAGGAAGAUGCAGAAAGGAUGGCGGCAGGGGGAGGAGGACCGGGAGAACACCACGGGCAGCGACAACACCGACACUGAGGGCUCCUAGCCGCAGCAGCGCAGGCCCCGACCAGGGCACACCCACCGGCCCGGCCUCCUGCCACCCGGGGGUGCCGACGCCCUGGGGCGCAGACUUCCCCGAGCCGUCGCUGACUUGGCCUGGAACGAGGAAUCUGGUGCCCUGAAAGGCCCAGCCGGACUGCCGGGCAUUGGGGCCGUUUGUUAAGCGGCACUCAUUUUGCGGAGGCCAUGCGGGUGCUCACCACCCCCAUGCACACGCCAUCUGUGUAACUUCAGGAUCUGUUCUGUUUCACCAUGUAACACACAAUACAUGCAUGCAUUGUAUUAGUGUUAGAAAACACAGCUGCGUAAAUAAACAGCACGGGUGACCCGC
rnacentral:lncRNA from 1 species